rnacentral:ncRNA from 1 species
AUAAUAUUUCUAGACAUAAGGAGUAGGUAUCUUUAUUCUUUCAGAGAGUUAGUGGUUGGUGCGAACUAAUAUUAUAAAAUACCGAAGGUUGUAUGGUUAAUUAAAUUAAAUAUUUUAGAGUGGACUCUACUAAUGAGUCAAUCAGGAUGGUACCGCGGAUUUAAUUCGUUCCUUUU